AUAAAAUAAUAAUUUUUUUAACAAGCUCCUAGUUGUACAGAAACAAUUUAUUUUGAACAUACACUGAGAACUGAUGCAAAGGCAAUGCUCUUGGAAAAGCAGACAAAAACAUAUUACAGUAGCAUGCAAAUAUUUGGGAACCCAUUUGAGGUUUACACAUUAGCAUUUUUACAUAUUUUGAAGAAAAAAAAAUCAGGUGUCUGUUAAAACUGAUUAAAAAAAACAUGCCAGUUAAACUCAGCAAAGAUUUCUACAUUAAAAAAAAAUUAAUAUCUUCACUGUUCCACUUUACCAUAGAACUGUCAGUGGUGAUGCAACAGACAAAUACAGUCUCUAAUCACAGUCACAAACACCAGUAACUCCUUCAGUUGCCUUGGGGUUCUUCCCUCAGCGGUCUCCUCGUAGUGUCACUCAGUUUUUGAGAACUACAGAUUUACCAUACUAUUUGUAUUUCUUAAUGACUGAUGUAAGCAAACUCCAACACAUACUCAGUGACUCUAAAAUGUUCAUGUAUGUUCAUGUACCUUGACUAGUCAAACAGAAACCAGCUGCAGAAGUGUUGAUUUAGUCAUCCAAAGGUACUUCAAACAUUUCUCUGCCUCACUAAGAAAACGUCACAGGAGCAAGAUUGUUCUUGAAUUAUUUUUCACAUUCUUUAAUGUUUUUAACUUUAAUGCACUUGGUCCACUGAUGUUUCACAUCUUGAGCCUCCAGAUUUUGCAGGUGAGGCUGAGAGGUUUUUGAAGUACACUUGUAUAUUCCAUUAUUCUAGCUCAGAUUUUUUAAACAAUCUGUUGCAAAGAUUUGUGAGUUUAAAGAGGAUUUUUUUUUUUUUUGAAAUUUUAAUACAGAGAAGCCUGAAUAGCUUUUUUUUCUCUGUCAAACAGGGGUUCUCAAUCUUUUGCAUGCUACAAAAUAAGACAAAAAAAACAAACAGCCAAAAUAGAAAGAAAAUCUGUACAUACAUAUUUACUAAAAGUGAAAACACUUAUGAAUCUUUAACUUGCUUACACACCCCAGUAAAAUAAUGUCAGUACCCCCGAAAAGCCAACGUCAACUUCAUGGACAUAUUUAAAUAUAUUUCAGUAUGAAAAUGAUUUCAUAAAGCAAAAGGUUAUGGUUGUCGUUUGUCAAACAACCUAACAAAAUGUCCUUUUACACCAAGUCCAAGUUUAAAU